CCUACGGGAGGCAGCAGUGAGGAAUAUUGGUCAAUGGGCGCAAGCCUGAACCAGCCAAGUCGCGUGAGGGAUGAAGGUCCUAUGGAUUGUAAACUGCUUUUAUACGGGAAUAACGCGCCUUACGUGUAGGGCUUUGCAUGUACCGUAUGAAUAAGGAUCGGCUAAUUCCGUGCCAGCAGCCGCGGUAAUACGGAAGGUCCGGGCGUUAUCCGGAUUUAUUGGGUUUAAAGGGGGCGUAGGCCGCAUGUCAAGCGUGCUGUGAAAUGUCCGGGCUCAACCCGGGCCUUGCAGCGAGAACUGGCGUGCUUGAGUCGGCGGAAAGCAGGCGGAAUGCGUCGUGUAGCGGUGAAAUGCUUAGAUAUGACGAAGAACCCCGAUUGCGAAGGCAGCUUGCUGCAGCGGAACUGACGCUGAUGCUCGAAAGCGCGGGUAUCGAACAGGAUUAGAUACCCGUGUAGUC
rnacentral:rRNA from 1 species